GCGCUUCAGGAGCACACAUAUUAAAACUGGAAUGAUCCAGAGAAGAUGAACGUGGUCCCUGAGCAAGGAUGGUGUGUAUUAAUACAUCCUUCAAGUGUCU
ensembl:snRNA U6 U6 spliceosomal RNA